CACCUUAUCAAUCACAAAUAAUUCUCACUGCUCAUCCAGGGGGUACUGUGGAAUAUUUAUAAUGUGUAUCCCUGUCUACAAAGGGGUUUACGGGAAACAAGCAAGACUGCUAGGAGUCAAAACAAGCAGGCGAGUACGGGGGAGGACACAGGCACACAGGAGGAGCGACAUCAGUGACUGGAUUGGGGAAAAACAGCUGAAGGCCGGAAGUGGACACCAACCUGGUGGGAGAGCUUGGCUGCUGCCGCCG